AACCAUGGAAACUGGCUCCUGGAAACUGGCUCCCUUCAUACCAUACCCAAAGGCAGGCUGGCGGCCCGACGAGUGGUGGGGGUUGGGGGGGGAGAAUAGAUGGGUAGAGAACAAAGGCUUUAUGAGCCUCUUUACGAGGAGAACGCGUCCAGGCGUUGGGGUUCACUUUUUUGUCCCCCAACAAGGUUUUCACCCAACUUGGAUCUGGGACCGCCCCCCUCUAGAGCAAAGUGCUCAUUGGACGCAAAGUUCGCCUCCGGCUUGGAGGGCGAAGAGAACGAUGCGGUCUCCUCUCCAACUUUUCUUUGCCCGGCAAAGGCGGACUUUUAUCCCCCCCAAACCCCCCCUGCCGAAACUCCCGCUGGCCUCCGCUGCGUCCCGCGGACCGCACCUCUAUCAGCGAUGGAAACAGCCGAAGGCCGCUCUUCCUGAAGGUCUAUUGACCGCUCGCCCUCCUCCUGCCGCCUUGGCGCCCUGCCCGCGACGGCGGGAAACCGGGACAUAGACCUGGCCCGGAGCGGAGACACGAGAGCAAGAACUUCAGAAAACCACGGUACCCUCAGCUCAGCAAACUGAUUCAAAAUGGGCCAUCAAUACUUGUUGAGUUUUCUGGAUGGUGAAUAAAUUAUUGGUCUUCAGAGAAAUUAAGUUCACUUAAUGGAUAUGGAUUCCUUGGAAGUCGCACUAUCAGAAAAAAAUUAAACAAAUAUGCAACUAUCAGAAGCUGGGCAACUUUUUCAGAAGAGGACCUUUCUUCUUCUCCAGCCCUCAAUAGAGUAGAAACAAAGAUCCAAGGACACUGCUGACCUAAGGACCAAGACCAGAAUGUCCUCUGCAUGAAGAACUGGUUAUUUUUUCUUCACAAGACUGAUAAGACUGGACCUAGGGAGAGGGAAGAGAGAAUGAAGAAUGUAAUGAGAAAAGAGGAACAAUAGAAGGAAUAGAGCCCUCAAAGUGGGCAAGGGAAAAAGGCUUGAAAGUUCUAAUGGGAGGAAUUCAAGAAGAUGAACCAUCCUCAAAGGUGGAACCCUCCUUUAAAAAUAAAUCGGGGAUCCCUGGGUGGCUCAGCGGUUUGGCGCCUGCCUUUGGCCCAGGGCGUGAUCCUGGAGUCCCGGGAUCAGGUCCCGCAUCGGGCUCCCGG